rnacentral:rRNA from 1 species
GGCGGGUUUACGACCUCGAUGUUGGAUCAGGGUAUCCCAGUGGUGCAGCCGCUACUAAAGGUUCGUUUGUUCAACGAUUAAAACCCUACGUGAUCUGAGUUCAGACCGGAGUAAUCCAGGUCAGUUUCUAUCUAUAAGGGGCUUUUUCUAGUACGAAAGGACCGAAAAAACAUGGCCCAUGCAUAAUACAAGCCAUACUUAACAAUUUAUGAUUAAAACUCAAUAAAUACUUAACCCAUCCCCUAACUCUAAACAAGAGU